UAAUCCUCUGCCUUUAUAAACUAAGUUGAACUAAGUUAUAUCGUGAGUCAGUGAUGUAAUGGAUAAGUAGAUGUAGUUGACUGGGUUAAAUAUCGUGGUGUAAUGACGCAGUGAACUAAGUUAAUCGUGGUGUAAUGAUGUAGUGAACUAAGUUUAUUGUGAUGUAAUGAUGUGGUGCACUUUACAUUAUUGUUAUUAAGUAACUUGACUUGAUGACUUAUAAGUAAUGAUGUAGCGAAGUAAGUUAUUAUGUAUUAUAUACAAUAAUACAAUACAAUACAAUACUAAUACAAUGUGCACUUGGCGUAUGCAAAGCCAUCUUGCAAAUAUUUUAAUUUUGAGGAUAUUUAGAUAACACAGAAGUGACCAUGAGCAAUCAAUACAGACCAUGGAUAGAUAUGGUAGAAAAGUCCUUUAACAGUGACAUAUGUUCAUAUUUCUGCCUAAUACAUGUCCAACAAAACGCCAAGUGCACUAAUCUACUUUAAUUAUGCCAAAAAAUUAAGCCAACAAAUUCAGUAUAUAACACACCACCAUAUCCAACAAAACGCCAUGGCUGGCUGAGUUUUGUAUAUCAUGUUGCAUCCCCCCUCCGUCCUUCAAUGAAAAAGCAGAGCACCUACUAUCGCCCGUUCAAAAAUAAUACCGAUUUGAUGCUUCAGAGCAAACUUUGAUGCUUAGCAGUGUUGAUGUGUCUUUUCUGAAAUUUAUUUGCUCAUUGAACAUGCUGAACUGAAUUUGGAAACAUCUAAACCCACCUUUACUCAUGCAGGUGAUCAAUGAAGGUUUUAGUGAAGAAAUUAUACAAGUGCAAGCAGAUAAGUUCAUCUUGAAUGAUGGCACUUAAUUUUCCUAAACAGUCAAUACAUUGUUCUUAUAUUAACUAGCAUCCCUCUUCCAGCCUCAGCAUGACAUAGGACGGUCGCUCGAGAAUUGUCUAACUAUAAAAAGUUAAAAGGAUGAUGCUACACGCCCCAACCUCUGAAUCUUUUAUGGAGCUUGAAGGGAAGCCUGAGACCAGUAUUACAUGGUUGCUUCUGGGUUUGCAUUCUGUUUAAAUGUUAGUUUAUGUUGAAGUGACAUGAUGUUAACUUUCACUAUUUUGGUAGGCAUCAUACAAUUUUUCUGUCCUUUGUACUUGAUGCAUUUGUCACGCAGUUUUCUGUUGCUGCUAUCUUUCUUUUACCUGAAUGUUAAAAGGCUGGCAUCAGAUUUUUAAGGAUUCCGAGCAAACGACCUCAUGCAGGUCAGGUCCCGCGCACGAAUCCUAAAGUGAUUGCUGCAAACACAUCCUUUGAGAGAAUUAUGAGGUGAUGCCACUAAUUUGUUUGCUCAGGAUGUCAAUCUGAGCGAACACAUUCGUGAAUGAUGAUUUUUGUUUUUAGAGCAUGGCAAUUCUCAUCCUUUUCUGUUGAUGUAGCAUGACGAUUUCAUUCAGCUAGCAUGGCAAAUCUUGAGCAUGGCAAUUUUUAGUUUACCACAUGGCAACUCCUUAUACAACAUCACAAUUUUUGAGCAUUCCUUGGGAGUGUUUUUGUAGCGAACGGAAACGUCUGCUCAUUUGUGUGACAUCCAAACUUAAUAGAAAUGACAGAUUACUUAUAUCAACAAGAUGCACCUUCUUUUGGGCACCCAUUCGAGGAACCACACCAAAAAGACUAGUGUUGGUAUCUGGGGCCAUUCUAGAUCCCAGACGCUGUUGAAAAUAUGAGCAAUUUAUGAAAUGAUUUAAUUCAUAGAAAUAGUAAAUAAAACAUGACUAUAAUGACAGAGAUAGAACAAGUCGCGCAGUCUAAUAAAGAAUAUGCGAAUAGCUUCUCAAAUUGUCAAUUUGAACAGAACAUGUCCAAAACAAGAGCUAGAACAAGAAACUCUACCAUAAUCUUGAAUGCAACAGAGUGACCAUUCACGUUGGUGUUGAUGUUGUCGCCCAUAUUGUCAAAGAGGUUGUCAAUGUCGGGAAAGAAGUCGUCAUUGGAAAAGUGAUCCUUGAUGUCCAUGAUGAAGAGUUCAGUAGUCGCGCACAGCGCUCCCCAAAAACUUUAUCACCCUUCUCCCGUAUAGGAAUAGAAGUGGUGGGGUUUCAAAGGCCUACUGUCCCGACCUGCGAUACACGCCGCUAGCAGGGAUGGGGAAGAACCUAGCAGUAGCUCACUGCUUGCAACUCGGUGACAUGAGGCAGAUUUUGUUCUGGUGUGUCUCUCUGGAGUGGAGUGGCCUCUUUUUUAUAGGCACAGGAGGAGGAGGCGAACUGACAGUGACAGGAGGUGAAAUGAAGAAAUGGGAGAUGAAACGAACAAACAGUAGCCGAAGGGUGCAACAUUCGUAUUCAAUCUCCACUACAACAAAAAUGUUGCAUCUCCCAUGCGACCUUUCAUAUACCAAUUAUGCGUGACAAAAAUUUAGACACGGCGCGCGUCGUGGCGUGGCGGAUAGCGAAGGAGAGCGUGUAUGUCUCUCUUCUUCUCAUGCUCAUACAUAUGGGGACAUAACCUUUCUUAUAAGGAGGUCCAACUCCUACUAAACUAGCAAUGUGAGACUAAACUUUAGUCCCACAUCUUGCCUUGCAUGAAUGGGCUAAGUGGGCCUCUAGGAUUUAUUAGGAAUUCUAAAAAUGAUUAUCGGGCUGGCCAAAAUCAACUGAAUCACCAGAUCCCAGAGGCACACAAAAUUCGCCUUUGGUUCCAAAACACUGUUUAUAUACCGGUACUACAGUGGAGAUUGUUAAGUUGAACUACCACCUAGAACUCUAUGCUACACUAGUAAGCAACUUGAACGAUGGAGUAGGCCGCUACUGUGGGACUUCCCCGUAGGUGGAGAUUAUGCGUCAUACUCCGUGGCCUUUCAUGAGUUUACUAGAGAGCACCCUACUCUCAUAGAUUGCGACUUUUAACAAUCAAACUCAUAUAGGUGUGUUCUUCAAAAUAUAUUCUGUAGGACAACAUCUCUGCUGAAAUAAGCCACUCAAAACACAUUAAGAUAAACAUCAAGCUACCACGCAGAUUAGGAGAGUAUUGCAUCUUCGUGGAGUGGUAUUAUCAAUAGUAAGGAUAGUCUCCUCUAGGUUGACCAACAACGUGUCUUCCAAUUCUAAUUCAAGGGAUCUCUGAUCACAUAGAGUAGUUUACCAUUGUGAACAACUCAUAUUGUGGGUCUCAUGCCCAUUUCCUUCAAUGCAUUAUCUAUCACAGUACGUGAUAGAUCUACCAGAUUUUUAGAUGUUUGGAUAUAAUCCAACGCAGUAACUCCGGAGUUUCUCAUUUUCUGACUUUAAUCUUCUCUAUACAUGUCUUGAUGACUUCAUGUUAUCCUUCAAGCUACUCACUUUGGCGAUCAUAAUUUGAUUGUCGCAUUUCAUAAGGAUACCUAGUACAGGUUUCUUAACAACCGGCAGGUCAUUCAAAAGCCGACGAAGCCAAUCUGCUUUGACCAUAGUUGUAUCUAGUGUGUGACAUCUGCUUCCAUUGUUAACCUUGUUAAGAUGAUCUGCUUGCAAGACUUCCAAGAAACAACGCCACUCCAUGAGUGAAUACAUAUCCACUUGUGGUCUUUAUCUCAUCAGCAUCCGAAAUGCAGUUUGAAUCACUAUGCCCUUCAAGUACGAUUGGGUACCUAGUAUAGUGAAUUUCAUAACUCGCAGUGCCUUUUAGAUAACACAUUACUAUCUCUAGAGCUUUCCAAUGAUCAUCUCCCAGUGUUGAAACAAAUAGUCUCAGUUUGCUAACAUCAAAAGAGAUGCCAGGUCUCGUAGCGCUGUCUAAAUACAUAAGCAAGCCAAUAAUUUGAGAAUAUUUCAGUUGAUCUCCAGAAAUCCUUUGAUGCUUUCGAAGCAACACGCUAGCAUCAUAUGGUGUUGGAGAGGGCUUACCGUCACUAUAGCCAAAGCGACUCAAGAUCUUUUCCACAUAGUGAGGUUGAAGCAACGUAAUCCUACCAUCACCAUCUCUCAAUAGAUUGAUGUCGGAAUAACAUCAGCUACUCCUAAAUCCUUCAUCUCAAAACAAUGAGAUGGAAAAUCAUUGACCUUCGUCACAACAUUCAAAUUUGUCUCGAAAAUCAAUAUGGCAUCAACAUGCAAGCAACGGAUAACUCCCUCACCCCCACCGUGGCGAUAGUACACACAUUUGUCAUCUUUGUUUAUAACAAAGCCUGCAUCAGUUAAAGUUCUUUCAAACUUCUCAUGCCACUUCAUAGGUGCUUGCUUAAGCCCAUAGAAAGACUUUAACAAUCUGCACACCUUUCUUUUCUGACCGUCCACUACAAACCCAUCUAGAUGUUCUAUGUAAAUUUUCUCAUCCAACACCCCAUUUAGAAAAGCAAUCUUAACAUCCAUUUGAGGAACGGCUAGUGAAAGUAGUAUUCGAAUAGUGGUGGUCAAUCGAGCCACAGGUGAGUAAGUAUCAAAGAAGUCUUCACCUUCGUUUUGGGUAUAACCCUUGGUUGCGAGUUGUGCCUUAAUUAUACUCCCCAAUAGUACCAUCAGUGAUGAGGCACGGACUAGCGAGACGCUAAUUUGUGCGUGUAGACGGCCCGAUCUUUCACGGCGAUGCUUGAUCAACAGUUCGUCCCUCUGUUCCUCCUCGCAACCUCCAAGAAUAAUUUUCACCCGUGUACAAAAAUACACGAACAAAAAUAAUGAUCCCCUCGGAUCAGCACGUAGGCAUCGAUAUUGAUGAUCAACCCUUCGUCACUAGGAAAUUUCCAUGAUGGGAAAAUCUCAAAUGAUAUACAAGAUAUAGCCGCCCAAAACCUGGACGUUUUACUGUGUUAUUCCUGUCUCACAAAUAAACUCAAAAACUGAUUUUACAUCGGCCAAAGCCUGGCCUUUUAUGUGGCCGAACUCCCGUACGCUAAGAAAAAUCCAGAGACUAAAUUACGUGACAAACUAGCACAACUCAAAAGGAAAUAUAUCUUUUUUUAUUUGGACCUGGACUCUAAAAUAACUAAUUAACUUGCAUGCAACAUAAUUCCCUUGCCAUGCAAACUAAGAUCAAUUGAGCCAACCCGUAUCCAAUCAGGUGGCGUACGAAACUUUGGCUCCACCUUGUCACGUAAAGGCUCUCAUUUUAUCUCUGGUCUCCUCCUUUGCUGCAGAUCCAUUAGCCUAUAUGAUUUUAACUGCUGAUUCAAUCCACCCCAGCGUCCUGGUUUUUUAUAGUCCAAAUCUGUUCGUACUAUACAACCAUGCAUCAACUUGUCAAUCACAUCUCUUGAAUGUAAUGCGUGCACCACGCAAUUGAUCUUUGGCCUGUUAAUUACAGAAUUUAUUCUUGGUCCACACAACUGACGCACACGAUCAUCUUUUCCUCGAUGAAAUAUGGCUGCAUGCACGUCAUUAUUUUCUGCAACUUUUCCAUGCCUUAAUUCUUUAACUAUCUCAGAUUGAGUAACAUCAUCAAUUGAUGUUGUGGUGCUCAUAUCAAUCAGGCCUAUUGAGCAUAUGACAUUUUGUUGUUUGUGAUGCAUCCGAUGUUUUUUGGUUGUGAUACAUCCUCAAAAAAUGCUAUCGAUUCAAAUGGAGGAGCCCGGACAGGGGCGAACGUUUGGUACACAGGGUUGGAUGACCGUUUGUCGUAUCCGUGUCCACAAAAGUUUGAUAUGUAUGUUUUGAUGUACACCGUUCGAGAUGCCCUAAAUAUGCUAGCAAAGCUGAAAAAAUUGGCGUCCAUCCAAAUAGUUGUCUAAAGUGUAGUCAACAUUUUUUUUUUCUGUUGGGCACUCCAAGGCAUCGAUCCAAACAGCCCCGUAGAGAUAGAUCUUUAAAAUCAGUGGAGAUAGAAUGUUGAUUUUAAAAUCAAAUUUUGGCAGUAUACUUAUUCUAAAUGAAAUACAUUAUUUUACCAACUAAAUCACCCCUAAAAAAUUGUGUGCAAAUUAGAAAAAAAUCCUCCAAUGAAAUUUAUGUAUUUUUGGCAACGUUUUUUUCUUGCUGCUUUUUUUUUGAAACUGUUUUUUUUCUUAUUGCUAACGGACACCCCAGGGGCUGCCUAGGCUGACACGUUACUUAGAGUCUUGGACCUUGGCCCAGCCCAAAGCAGCUCGGCGGCGCUCUAGGGUUUGCUCGAUUAGCUCGGCGGCGGCGGCGGUGGCGGUGGCGGCGGUUGGCGAAUUGGCGAUGGCAUCUGUAGAGGAGUUGGAGGAUGAGGAGGAGGAGGUGGAGGGCUUAGAGCCUUUAUUGUACGACCGGGCGAAGUGGGUGGCCUGGGCGGUGGAGGAGAAGGAGAGGUCCCGGCGGGAGGAAGAGGAGAAGACUCGGAAGCGGGAGGAGAACCGGCGGAGAAGCGAGGCACACGACAAGGUCAUGGACUCCAUCAUCGAGCACGAUCCCAAGGCCGGGCGCGACGUCUACACCCGGUUUUUCCUCAGAGACUUCUCCGUCUUCGACAUCGAUGAGGAGUGUAAGUUGCCUCUAUCUUCAUCCUCAAUGAAGGUGGAGUACUGUUUUUUUUUUGGCUGUUAUGUGUACAUUUCUGAUGUACGGUAUGUAUGGGAGCUGAAUUACGUUACAGUAGGAUGUUUCACCUGUAUAAUUGUCUAUAUAUCAGGAGAAUCCUCUGACAUGCCAUGUUCUCUUCAUUAUUGAUGCAUAGCAGUGAACAGUGAAUCUCAAUCCGUUUACUGGAUUGGAUUCAGAUGUAUCAAUUGACAACAGGAACUCGCUGAUUUGGCUAAACCAGAAAUUAACUUUGUACAGAUGGUGAGAUGAUAGUUUUCUCUUGAAGUUAACAGUGAAUCUCAAUUCAUAUAGAUAGAUUUGAUUCAUAUGUUUAUCGCUUAACAACAGGAAUCACUGAUUUCGCUAAAAUUGAAAUUAACUUGGUUCGAAUGGUGAGAUGAUAGCUUUCUCUUGAAGUUAACUCAGUAAGUGAAAUACGAAUAUUAGAUGGUUUAACUCAGCGGGAUGUAAAUGGGAAGAACACAAACUGGGACUGUUUGUUGUGAUGAAAUAAUUUGAUAUUUUGCUCAUUCAUUGCAGCGUCUGUCCCUCCAAUGCGAUACUCUGAUAGUGUCUACCAAGAUGAAUUUGGGCUAGAAGACUCUGCAAACAUCCUCUCCGUUAGCAUAAUCUCCUCAGAUGUAGGCUUCCCAGUCGAUGUCUAUGGCCGCGUCAUUGCCAGAGAUAGCAUUGACUACAAGUGCAUUUAUCUCUUUCACCGCAAUAGGGAUGAUUGCCAGCGUCUCAACGAGGUACAUCCUUUGCUUCUAAGUUCGUUCCAAUCGGGUUUCGUUUUAUCAGGUGAUGCAUUUAAUAUGAACUGUUAAUUGGCAUCUAAAUGGAGUCAUCUUAGUGCUGGUGGUUGUCGAUCCAGACAGUCAUCUGCAUAUAAAUGGAGUAGCUUUUAUGGCAUGCUUCCAAUCUUCAUUUUGAGCAGUGUUUGGAUGAGCAUACUCUAACCUCUCGUGCAAUUCUUUUCAUAGGAUGGAAUGCUGAUUUUAACUGGCCCAUAUCGAGGUCUAGUGCUGGUUGAUUUCAUCUAUCUAGAGAUAGAUCUUAAAAUAAGGGAAGAAGGAGUUCCAGACAGGCCAUUUAGCAAGGGUCUAAUAAGCAUUGAUGGCCGAGUACUGUCUAGAGAGAAAGAUGUCAUGGUUAGAAGUGAAACCCUUGAGAGCUGGCUCAGCACUACAGAAGUGAGAUUCACAACUGUCCUGAACGCAGUCGAAUGCACCUUUGAAAUCAAGCUCAUUGAGGGGCUUUUUAAAGGAAAUAUAACAGUUGGCAUUGCGGAUAAAGCUCGCAAGCUGGACAAUGAACAAACGAUUGUGAUUCAUGAUAGCACAGCAGAUGGCGUGGUUACAAGUGAUGAAAGUGGAGUUAUCAAACUCCGGCGAAGUGUCAUUACUAUCUGUCUGGAAAGAAAUGUGAUGUUUCGCAUAAAUAAUGAGGCUGCUGGUGUUUGUGCUGAACGAACCUUUGAUUUAAGUCCACGGCGCACUGGUGCAGAUGAAUUGGAAAUUACGUGUGGUGCUGGGAAGUUCGGAUUCAGGGUCGUCUGGUCCUUGAUGGACUUUAGGCUGUAAUCUUGUGCCUUUAUAAACCAAGUUGAACUAAGUUAUAUCGCGAGUCAGUGAUGUAAUGGAUCAAGUAGAUGUAGUGGACUGAGUUAUAUCGUGGUGGAAUGAUGCAGUGAACUAAGUUAAUCGUGGUGUAAUAAUGCAGUGAACUAAGUUAAUUGUGAUGUAAUGGUGUGGUGCACUAAGUUAUAUUAUUGUUAUUAGGUAACUUGAUGGAUUAUAAGUAAUGAUGUAGCGAACUAAAUUAUAAUGUAUUAUGGUGGCGUGUUAUACCGAAUUUGUUGGUUUAAUUUUUUGGCAUAAUCAAAGCAGAUUAGCGCACUUGGCAUUUUGUUAGACAUGUAUUAG
rnacentral:lncRNA from 1 species